CACGGAGAACAGGCAUACAUAUG
rnacentral:piRNA from 1 species